UCACCGCGGCUUCCUCCCGGCUCCUCGUCCGCGGCCUCGACGGCGCCCUCCUCUUCCCUACCUCGAGGGCACGGAGAUGCUGACGGAGAAGCCCGGCUGGGUUCGCCAUGACGGCCUGCAGAUCUUCUCCAUCAACAUCCAGCCGAGCGGCCUCCGCUUCGCCACGGGAGGUGGUGACCAGAAGUACUAGGAACCUGUUAUUUGGUGGCACUCUUUGGUCAAGCUUGAAAUUUUUUGGGGCUCAAGCCUACCGUUCUUAUGAUGGUAACUGGGCCAUUUUUCUUACUAAUGGAAGAGUAGGAGGCAGAGAGGGAGAUGGGGUGGUAAGAAGAGAGGGUGAGGAAGGAGGAAGAGGAGAUCCUCCCGGCACUCAUGGUGGUCACCCAGAUUCCAGCGGGGAUGGCAGUCCAACAUGCUCUGUGUUGUUCUAAAGGGGAACCAUGCCCAUGCGACGGUACCGAACAAAGUUGUGCACGUGGUCAUGGACACUCUACGCGAAAGAAAUUUGUAUAAAUAUACAAUGCUCUUUUUGAAGACUCCUGGGAUGAUAUUGGAAGGAACUCGAGCGGAAGGCCGCCGGACAUGGAAGAAAUGAGCCCAAGCCCAAUCAAUUGGAUGCUUCAGUGGAUUUGAAUGGGGUUCAUUGUAGGCGAGUGCUUGAAUUGUGGCCUCACAUGCAUCAUUAGCUUCCCUUAUCCCACACAAGUAUUCUUCGUGAGAACUAUGCUUAGAUAGCUGAAUGUAUUAUUGUGAACUACUGAACCUUUGCACUUUUGUUGUAACAUACUGAACAUUUGCACCAUUGCUUUUCAUUGUAUAAAUGUAUGAAAUAAAAAAAAUGUCUCAUACCAGGUUGGAUAUUGCGGGGGCGGGUGGGGUGCGGCAAAGAUUAAUAUGCAUAAAGUGUGAGGAACCAUGUGCUAUAAUGCACCAAUGCUGCUUUCGGAUGACGACGACAAUGCCAAACGCACCAUCACCUGAGAUGAUUGGUGGGCAGAAUUAAAGAGGGAUUACCAAGUAAGGAAAUACACCUGAGCAAGCAGUUAGACCCAAGCGGAGUUUUAAAAUCAAAACGGGGCAAUUCUCUACUGUGACAAAGUGAAGAGAAAACUGAUGCAUCAAAUUAAUACAGAAAUUCAGUUCAUAUGAAGCAGAAGAAAGGCAUACAGUACCUUACAUUGACAGUGAUUGUUAGCCCAUUGUGGUACUUCAAAUCUGAUAAAGAAUAUAUUUCAUGACCGAGACAUGACAUUUGGAGAAUCUCAGUUCUAAUAUCUACAUGAAUCAACUUUUAUUUUGUCAUGCUACUGAAUGUUCUGAUAUGGGACUAUCUAUUCUGUGUAUCUCUUAUAAGUAAUAAUGAAAUGAUCUAUAUAUAAAGUUUUCCUAUUUUGAUUA